rnacentral:rRNA from 1 species
CCAAUAGCGUAUAUGAAAGUUGUUGCAGGUAAAAAGCUCGUAGUUGAAUUUCGGGGUCAGCAGGUUGGUCGUGCCACUGGUAUGCACUGGCCUCGCUGAUUCCUCCCUCUUGUAGAACCGUAACGCCAUUAAGUUGGUGUUGCGGGGAAACAGGACUGUUACUUUGAAAAAAUUAGAGUGUUUAAAGCAGGCCAACGCUUGAAUACAUUAGCAUGGAAUAAUGAAAUAGGACGAUCGAUCCUAUUUUGUUGGUUUCUAGGGUUGACGUAAUGAUUAAUAGGGAUAGUUGGGGGCAUUAUUAUUCAAUUGUCAGAGGUGAAAUUCUUGGAUUUAUUGAAGACUAACUACUGCGAAAGCAUUUGCCAAGGAUGUUUUCAUUAAUCAAGAACGAAAGUUAGGGGAUCGAAGACGAUCAGAUACCGUCGUAGUCUUAACCAUAAACUAUGCCGACUAGGGAUCGGAUGAUGUUAAUUUUUUAAUGACUCAUUCGGCGCCUUACG